UACAGAGGGUGCAAGCGUUGUUCGGAAUUAUUGGGCGUAAAGGGCGCGUAGGCGGUGCGGUAAGUCUUUUGUGAAAUCUCCGGGCUCAACUCAGAGCCUGCAGGCGAAACUGCCGUGCUUGAGUGUGGGAGAGGUGCGUGGAAUUCCCGGUGUAGCGGUGAAAUGCGCAGAUAUCAGGAGGAACACCGGUGGCGAAGGCGGGUCUCUGGGCCGAUAUUGACGCUGAGGAGCGAAAGCGUGGGGAGCAAACAGG
rnacentral:rRNA from 1 species